AGGAGCUUAGGUUAACCCAGACCAAGAGCCUUCAAAGCUCUAAGUAAAUAAUAGAUAUUUAGCUCCUG
rnacentral:tRNA from 1 species